CCCGGAAAUGAAUUUCCGGGCUAUUAUAUACCAUCCCUACGGGACU
rnacentral:sRNA from 1 species